CCCCCCGUUACUGACGCAUACCGCAUACGGUGAAAGAACCCCCUCCUGAACCGCAGCUAUCUUCCUCUGACCAGCGGGACCAGGAUCAUACCGUUCCGUUCACCCACUCGGCACCACCAAUCGUACCCACCCACCCACACGUACGCAUCCGCCUGCCGCCGACCGGUGCCAAGAUUGGAAGAUUAUUGUUCUUCGUGCCUCGGGACUGUGCGCGAGUUCUCCGUCGAGUCGUCAAAAGUAGGUGAAAAGGUGAUUGACUGAGCCGCAUCGAACAUAAAGCUUCGCGGGCUCGCCGGCAAACCCUCACCAUCUCGUUGCCACUGCUUGCCCCCACCGUUCGUCCGCAAAGCGAAAGAGGAUUGUCAGCUCUUGUGUCUUUGGCCUUUUGUUCGCACAUCUGUUCGAUAACGGGCCGCGUUCGAUGGCGCUUCACGCUUCACGAUGAAAGCGCACUCUUCACGGUGACUCUUAUCUUAAUCUAUGCGACGCAAUACGCCGCCAUUUGCCAGGUUCGCCUGACAUGUCGUCCUGUAAUCGAUUGUGUAAUCUACAACAGUUUCGAUGGCAGUGGUUUUUACGACCCUGCGAAGCGCAUUAAAAGUUUAAGUGCAUAGGAACAGGGCUAAACAAAAGCUACUUGCUUAAUAGGUUUUUUUGUAUCUAUACUUUGGAAUGUAGUUUUCAUAGCACUCAUGUGCUUGAAUAUUUUAAGCAGCAUUUUUAGAACCUUAGACAAUAUAUGGGCACUUCUGCCAGAAAUUGUGGUGUGUGGCUCUCUAGUCAAACCUAAAAGAAACAGAUUUUGAGAUAUUUCAUAUUUAAAGCAUUAGAAUCUAUUGAGCUUUCGGCAGGUUUAAUGUUCUGCAAUAACUCGUUAUCGAACGCCAUUGUUUUACAGGCACAUCAUUUUAAGUGUUCCAUUGACUCGGCAAUCCUUUAUCACAAAUAAGUUGUCCCUUGCGGCAGAGAUUUCAUGCAUAAA